rnacentral:rRNA from 1 species
AUUGAACGCUGGCGGAAUGCUUUACACAUGCAAGUCGAACGGCAGCACGGACUUCGGUCUGGUGGCGAGUGGCGAACGGGUGAGUAACAUAUCGGAACGUAUCCAAUAAUGGGGGAUAACGAGUCGAAAGAUUCGCUAAUACCGCAUACGCCCUACGGGGGAAAGCUGGGGACCUUCGGGCCUGGCUGUAAUGGAGCGGCCGAUAUCUGAUUAGCCAGUUGGUGAGGUAAAGGCUCACCAAGGCGACGAUCAGUAGCUGGUCUGAGAGGACGACCAGCCAACCGGCAACUGAGACACGGUCCAGACUCCUACGGGAGGCAGCAGUGGGGAAUUUUGGACAAUGGCCGCAGGCCUGAUCCAGCCAUUCCGCGUGAGUGAAGAAGGCCUUCGGGUUGUAAAGCUCUUUCGCAAGGGAAGAAAACUUAGCCACUAACAUUGGUUGAGGUUGACGGUACCUUGAUAAGAAGCACCGGCUAACUACGUGCCAGCCGCCGCCGUAA